GAUGAACGCUGGCGGCGUGCCUAAUACAUGCAAGUCGAGCGGACGGACGAGGAGCUUGCUUCUCUGAUGUUAACGGAGGACGGGAGAGUAACACGUGGAUAACGUACCUGUAAGACGGGGAUCACUUCGGGAAACCGGCGCUAAUACCGUAUAAUAUUUUGAACCGCAUGGUUGAAAGGUAAAAGACGGUCUUGCUGGCACUUAUAGCUGGAUCCGCGCUGCAUUAGCUGGUUGGUACGGUAACGGCUUACCAAGGCUACGAUGCAUAGCCGACCUGAGAGGCUGGUCGCCCACCCUGGAGCGGAGACACGGUCCAGACUCCUACGGGAGGCAGCAGGAGGGAACCGUCCGCAAUGGUCGAAAGCCUGACGGAGCAACGCCGCGUGAGUGAUGAAGGUCUUCGGAUCGUAAAACUCUGUUAUGAGGGAUGAACAGAUGUGUAAGGAACCGUGCACAGCUUGACGGUACCGAAUCAGAAAGCCACGGCUAACUACGUG
rnacentral:rRNA from 1 species